rnacentral:lncRNA from 10 species
GUCUACUGUGGAGCAGGCUGGCAGAGGAGACACAUGCUAGGUGCCUCUAGUCAGCGAUCUUGAUGACAUCUUUGUUUUGGACUUCUAAUGACAUGAUGAAGAAAGUGAAAAACAAGCCACAGAUGAGUGGGCACGUUGGGCCAAGCACUGUUCUAGACAUAAAUAUUUCAUAGGUAAGUAAAUCCAGCAAGACCUUUUUUCCUACCCUUUUUCUUUUUCCUUUCCAUUCUCAGAUUUUGGCUACUUGCUGCCAACUAUGCAAGGGAAGCAGAUAUAAAAAUACCUUGUAACAGGGCAGGAGAAUAGAGUCUGGAAAGCACCCCAAGACCCCAGAAAGGCAGUUGCGGUGAUACACAAAACACUAGAAUCUGCUGAAGGAGCCAAUAGUCCUUCCUAGCCACAUCUCCAUAGAAUUUGUUUGUUGUUUAUUUCUUUAUUUUUUCUUUUCUUCUUUUUUUUUUUUUUUUUUUUUGAGAUGACCUCGCUCUGUCACCCAACCUAGAGUGCAUUGGUGUGAUCAUGGCUCAAUAGAGCCUCAACAUCCUGGGCUCAUGUAAUUCUCCUGCUUCAGCCUCCCAAGUAGCUGGGACUAUAGGCAUGCACCAACACACCUGGCUAUUUUUUUUUUUUUUUUUAAUUUUGGAGAGACAGAGUUUUACUAUUUUUCCAAGGCUGGCCUCAAACCCCUGGGCUCAAACAAUUCUCCCAUCGUGGCCUCCUAAAGUGCUGGGAUGAAAGGUGUGAACCACGACACCUGGUCUCCACUGGGUUUUUAAAUAUACAAGUUAGCUGUCAACAUUGAAUACAGAAGAUUUUAUAUAAAAAUCAGAAUGUUUAGUUUCUCUUAAAAAAUCCAAUAACAUGUAACUUGGGCCUUCAUUCUCACACAAUAACAAGGAGCUAGGGUGGGGCGAGAGCUCUUCACUUUAUACCAGACCUCACCUGGCCUGCUUCUUGCAUCUGUUAUGUUCGUGGGCCUGUAAGUUUACAACUGAUGCUCUAGAGGUGCAUGAUGGAGUCUGAGUCAAGCAAUAGUGAGUGGCUGUAGCUAAUUACCUCUGCACUGUACAUAUGCUACUGAAAAAUAGCUAAGAAUGUGUGCUAGAGCUGUUACCAAGAGGGUUUAGACUUGAAGUGCUUAAUCUCCCUGGAGAGAGAGAGAUGUUAUUCUCAUCUUCUUUCCUCCCUGAGAAACUAUGAGAGUUGAGUAGGAGCAACGUAACUCAGACACCUCUAGAUCCUACAUGUCAGCUUCAUUCCAUGAUGAACUAUUGGUUUUCUACAGAGACACUUCAUCAGCAGAGGCACGAGCAACCAGCAGACAACAGAAUCAACUAGCAGAUUG